rnacentral:rRNA from 1 species
UGGGGAAUUUUGGACAAUGGGGGAAACCCUGAUCCAGCCAUCCCGCGUGUGCGAUGAAGGCCUUCGGGUUGUAAAGCACUUUUUGGCAGGAAAGAAACGUCGCGGGUUAAUACCCCGCGAAACUGACGGUACCUGCAGAAUAAGCACCGGCUAACUACGUGCCAGCAGCCGCGGUAAUACGUAGGGUGCAAGCGUUAAUCGGAAUUACUGGGCGUAAAGCGUGCGCAGGCGGUUCGGAAAGAAAGAUGUGAAAUCCCAGAGCUUAACUUUGGAACUGCAUUUUUUAACUACCGGGCUAGAGUGUGUCAGAGGGAGGUGGAAUUCCGCGUGUAGCAGUGAAAUGCGUAGAUAUGCGGAGGAACACCGAUGGCGAAGGCAGCCUCCUGGGAUAACACUGACGCUCAUGCACGAAAAGCGUGGGGGAGCAAACAGGAUUAGAUACCCUGGUAGUCCACGCCCUAAACGAUGUCAAACUAGCUGUUGGGGGCCCUUCGGGCCUUGGUAGCGCAGCUAACGCGUGAAGUUGACCGCCUGGGGGAGUACCGGUCGCAAG